ACGGCUCAGUAACACGUGGCCAACCUGCCCUUGGGACGGGAACACCCCCGGGAAACUGGGGUUAAUUCCCGAUAGGUGAAGAAGUCUGGAAUGAAUCUUCGCUCAAAAGACGUUUAUGUCAUGCUCAUAUUCGUCGCCCAGGGAUGGGGCCGCGACCGAUCAGGUAGUUGGUGAGGCAAUGGCUCACCAAGCCUUUUACCGGUGCGGGCCGUGAGAGCGGGAGCCCGGAGAUGGGCACUGAGACAAGGGCCCAGGCCCCACGGGGCGCAGCAGUCGCGAAAACUUUACAAUACACGAAAGUGUGACAGGGCUAUCCCGAGUGCCAUCCGCUGAGGAAGGCUUUUACCCAGUAUAAAUAGCUGGGAGAAUAAGGAGAGGGCAAGUCUGGUGUCAGCCGCCGCGGUAA
rnacentral:rRNA from 1 species